rnacentral:rRNA from 1 species
AUUGAACGCUGGCGGCAUGCCUUACACAUGCAAGUCGAACGGCAGCACGGGAGCAAUCCUGGUGGCGAGUGGCGAACGGGUGAGUAAUAUAUCGGAACGUGCCCAGUAGUGGGGGAUAACUGCUCGAAAGAGCAGCUAAUACCGCAUACGACCAGAGGGUGAAAGGGGGGAUCGCAAGACCUCUCGCCAUUGGAGCGGCCGAUAUCAGAUUAGCUAGUUGGUGGGGUAAAGGCCUACCAAGGUAACGAUCUGUAGCUGGACUGAGAGGACGACCAGCCACACUGGGACUGAGACGCGGCCCAGACUCCUACGGGAGGCAGCAGUGGGGAAUUUUGGACAAUGGGCGCAAGCCUGAUCCAGCAAUGCCGCGUGCAGGAAGAAGGCCUUCGAGUUGUAAACUGCUUAUGUCAGGGAAGAAAUCCUCUAGGUUAAUACCCUUGGGGGGAUGACGGUACCUGAAGAAUAAGCACCGGCUAACUACGUGCCAGCAGCCGCCGCAGUAA